rnacentral:lncRNA from 1 species
UGCUCCAUGGAUCAUAGAUCAGAAACUGUUCAUCUCCGAGAAUGAACCUGAACCUCAUAUGUAGUGUUAGCUAGACAUAGUUAACUCUUCAAUUUUAUUUGACCCAUAACUUAAUUCUCAAUCAAGUUAGCUUAUAUGUUCAAUCAAGUCAAGUACUUUCAAAUUAGACAUAUAAACAUAGGUCAAUUCCUUCCUUCUUUGUCUAACUUGUAUGCGUGACUCCAUAGGUUCAAACACUAAGUCGGUAGUACAAAAAUCACUAAUCGAGAUACCAUCUAGUAAUGAUUUUCGACGUCCAGAU